AUGCAUCCUGGAAAUUGUAGUAUGGAGGAACUGCUCAACCAAAGAGUAGUAAGAGGACAUGUACGGGAGAAGACUACAUGCCCACAAAACAAAUGGAUUUUGGUAAAUUCAGAACUGAGGCAGUUAGGGUCUUACAUUGUAUCAGUGAUGAUGGACAUAAUAUUACUUCUCUUGGUGUUUUUCCCAAUAAGUGUAAUCUGUCAGACAUUAAAGGAGUCAGGGCCAGGUCUAGUAAAACCUUCACAGUCACUUGAAAUGACCUGUAUAGUAUCUGGAUUUGACUUAAGCAGCUAUGCUGUGCACUGGAUCAGACAAACUCCUGGGAAAGGGCUGGAAUGGAUUGGAGCAGCAUGGAGUGGUGGUAGUAUUUAUUAUGCUGAUUCAAUAAAGAGCCGGACCACAAUCUCAAAAGACAAUGCCAAGAAACAGGUCAACCUUCAGAUUAAGAACAUGGAGACUGCAGACACUGGAGUGUAUUAUUGUGCGAGAGACACAGUGCAACAAAGUCAUGAGGAGAUCAUACAAAAUCCAGCUGUGUCUACCAGGAAAUAA